UGCAGCUCACGCUUAUUUGUUUGAAGAGUGGAAGAGGAAAAAACGAAAGGGUUGGAGCGAAGCAGAGCAGUUGCCGUUAUCCACACUCUCUCUCUAUAUCUACCGGUUUCUCUCUCCAUCCGUUUCUCCGGUCAACCGGUUUAGGGUUUUACAUAUCCUCCAACGAGCUGACGCAGCCAUGGUUUCCGAUUCGAUCCCCAACGCCUCCAUGGCCUCAUCCAACCUUAGGGAUUUCGCCAAGAAGAAGAGGGCAAACCGCUCCGCGAAAUUGAAGCAGUGCAAGCUUGAUGCUCGUCGUGAGCAGUGGCUUUCUCACGUGAAAAAUAAGGGUGAUUACAAGGGGGAAGCCAAUGGUGGAGUGAUUGCAUCCAUUGGGGCAUCUGUGCAUUUAGAAAAUCAGACGAGACAACCGAUAGGUAAACUGGAGAUUAAGACGAAAAGUGAGGAGGGGAUUUAUGGAGAUGUAUCAUCAAUGCAUCAUUUCAGUGACUCAGAUUCCGUACAGUCCAAUAGCCCAACCAGCCUUACCAGUAGUGUUUUGGGCAGCAAUGAUUCUGGGGCCAAUUUCACUGGAAGUAGCAGUAGCAGAAGCAGUAGUAGUACUAAUGGUUCUUGUUCAGGGAACAUGAGUGAGGAAGAUGAAGGGGACGCUGGCGGUGAUGAUUGCUUGGAUGAUUGGGAAGCCGUUGCUGAUGCAUUGGCUGCCACUGACGACAAGCAGAAAGAUUCCCCUUCUUCCGAGAAUCACGAACGUUCUACAGAGUCUGGUUCUCCGGUGGAUGCAAGUGACCAGAUGUUUUCAGGGAUUAAUAUCCCUGGGAUCCAUACAGCCAAUGCUAAUUCAGAGAGUGGAAGAACUGAUAAUCGGAGGGCCAUGAUAAAUUGUUGUGCUUGGAGGCCAGAUGAUGCUUGUCGUCCCCAGACCUUACCCAAUCUGGCCAAGCAGUACAGUUUUCCAUUGAAAUCCGAGCGCCAUCUAGGCGGGGGUUCAGUAUGGGUCUGUAAAAGUGUUGGAGCAAUCCCCAAAGCAUGUCCGAUAUGCUUUGAGGAUUUAGACUACACUGAUUCAAGCUUUUGCCCCUGUGCAUGUGGUUUCAGGCUCUGCCUUUUCUGUCACAAGAGAAUUCUUGAGGAGGAUGCCCGUUGUCCAGGCUGCAGAAAGAAAUAUGAGGUUGAACCUAUUGAUGGAGAGGCGACACUGGACGGAGGCAGCAUAACAUAUCGAUUGGCUCGUUCCUGUAGCAUGGUCGCAAGGUCUUGAAGUCUCUGUUCCUUAAACUUAAAAAUCUGGAAUAGUGACAGGAAUGACUAUAUAUGCUUUCAGUGAGGAAGCUGGUUGCUUUUAGUAUAUGAUAUACUAUGAUGUAUGUAUAUCAUAGUGACAGGAAUGGUUGCAUAUCUUGUGGAUAGAAAUGUUCUUUUUCUUCAAUUGUUCAUGACAGAAUAUCGAUUUAAGAUGGGUGAUUAUACAAAUGUUGGCCUAUUUGGAUACAGGAUAUGCUCUUCAAUCAAUUCUUGACAGAAAAAAUCCAUUAUUUUCGAGCCUUUUAGCCAUUUCAAAGAGUCUAUCAAGCCAUCUAAAGGGACAUGGUGGUUUGGAGAGGCGGCCGUCGAAGUGGUGUAGAUUGGAUUUUGUUGGCAUGUUUAGAUUUUAGUGAUUAAGGACGACAAGAAUAGAAAAAGAAGCGUCAUCAUAUUUUAGGUUGUUUCAGUUGUGAGCUCUAUCUAACAAUUAUCAAGCGGUAUUUAAUUUAUUAAUAUUCAUAUUUUAAAUUUAAUUGAAAA